rnacentral:rRNA from 1 species
ACUCAAAUGAAUUGACGGGGACCCGCACAAGCAGCGGAGCGUGUGGUUUAAUUCGACGCGACGCGAAGAACCUUACCAGGGCUUGACAUGCUCCUGACCCCUCCAGAGAUGGGGGUCCCUUCGGGGCAGGAGCACAGGUGCUGCAUGGCUGUCGUCAGCUCGUGCCGUGAGGUGUUGGGUUAAGUCCCGCAACGAGCGCAACCCCCAUCGUCGGUUGGACAUGUCCGACGAGACUGCCACGAUCAACGUGGAGGAAGGUGGGGAUGACGUCAAGUCAGCACGGCCCUUACGUCCUGGGCUACACACACGCUACAAUGGCCGCGACAACGGGGAGCCAACCCGCGAGGGGCAGCCAAUCCCAGCAAAGGCGGUCUCAGUUCGGAUGGCAGGCUGCAACCCGCCUGCCUGAAGUCGGAGUUGCUAGUAACCGUGAGUCAGCACAUCACGGUGAAUACGUUCCCGGGUCUUGUACACACCGCCCGU